GUAGUUCUAAAUCUGGAAAUCCCCACUGGAAAUCCCUAAGGAACCUGCAGUUAGUCUAUUGCUUUUUCACAGCUGUCAAUACUUUACAAGAAUAAGAGGAAAGGUUAUAAGAGUGGACAAGCACUUUUACAAGAACAUUGGUUGACGACAAUGAAGAUAUGAGUGAAGGGCCUAACCAGGUUUUUGGAGAGAAGAUGGCUAUACCAGAAGGAGGUGUAGAAGAAAUGGAUGUUUCACACCAUAGAGAUGACAGCCCAGGUUAUGUAAACCUUAAAAUGAAAGGACCAGGGAAACCAAUAAAUAUACGUUAUGAUGAGAA